rnacentral:misc_RNA from 1 species
AACUGAUACUACCUGCGGGAACCUGCGGAGGGAUCAUUAAUGAGAAACUGCCCCUCGCGGGUAGAUCUCCCACCCUUUGUAAACUUACCUUUGUUGCUUUGGCAGGCCCGUCUCCGGACCGCCGGCUUCGGCUGGCCAGUGCCUGCCAGAGGAUUCUAAAACUCUGUCUGUCAGUGUUGUCUGAGUCUAUAUACAAUCGUUAAAACUUUCAGCAAUGGAUCUCUAGAUCGGAAGAGCACA